rnacentral:rRNA from 1 species
UACGUAGGGGGCAAGCGUUGUCCGGAAUCAUUGGGCGUAAAGAGCUCGUAGGCGGUUUGUUGCGUCUAUCGUGAAAACCUGCAGCUUAACUGUGGGCUUGCGGUGGAUACGGGCAGACUUGAGUUCGGUAGGGGAGACUGGAAUUCCUGGUGUAGCAGUGAAAUGCGUAGAUAUCAGGAGGAACACCGGAUGGCGAAGGCAGGUCUCUGGGGCUGACACGUGACUCAUGCACGAAGCGUGGGGAGCAACAGG